rnacentral:rRNA from 1 species
UACGUAGGGGGCUAGCGUUGUCCGGAAUCAUUGGGCGUAAAGCGCGCGUAGGCGGCCCGGUAAGUCCGCUGUGAAAGUCCAGGGCUCAACCCUGGAAAGCCGGUGGAUACUGCCGGGCUAGAGUCCGGGAGAGGCGAGUGGAAUUCCUGGUGUAGCGGUGAAAUGCGCAGAUAUCAGGAGGAACACCGAUGGCGAAGGCAGGUCUCUGGGCCACUACUGACGCUGAGAAGCGAAAGCAUGGGGAGCGAACAGG